AAUGAAUUAGAAUGACUUGGGAAAGUCAACCAUAGAAGGUGAAAGUCCUGUAUAAGUAAAGUUGUAUUACCUAGCAGUAUCCUGAGUAAGGCGGGACCGGAGAAAUCCCGUCUGAAUCUACCGGCACCAUCCGGUAAGGCUAAAUACUCCUGAGAGACCGAUAGUGAACUAGUACCGUGAGGGAAAGGUGAAAAGUACUCCGAACAGGAGAGUGAAAUAGUACCUGAAACCAUACGCUUACAAGCUGUAGGAGCCCUUCGGGGUGACUGCGUGCCUUUUGCAUAAUGAGCCUACGAGUUACUCCUCACUAGCAAGGUUAAGGUCUUAAGGACCGGAGCCGAAGCGAAAGCAAGUCUGAAUAGGGCGUAUAGUUAGUGGGGGUAGACGCGAAACCGUGUGAUCUACCCAUGGCCAGGUUGAAGCUCUGGUAACACAGAGUGGAGGACCGAACCAGUUGACGUUGAAAAGUCUUUGGAUGAGUUGUGGGUAGGGGUGAAAGGCCAAUCAAAC
rnacentral:rRNA from 14 species